UAGUUAAAUUGAUACCACAAUAAAUAAAGCUCUUUAACAAACACUAAAUCUCUACUAAAACUCUCGAUUAAAAAAAUGAUAUAGAAAGACAAAACAAAGAAGAUAGAGAUAAAGAUUGCGAUUAAUUAUAAUAAAUUGGUUAGUAUCACAUGAUGUUAGUUGCAAUAUUUUCUUUAAAAAACUUAUCUAACAUCCGAGUUAGACUAUACUAUUGAGUUUUGCAUAACAUUCGUAGAAAACUAAUAAUAAGCUUGUGCGUUACUUCCAAACUUGUAUCUUGACUUGAAACUUCAAUCUUCAAAAUC
rnacentral:lncRNA from 1 species